AUAUGGUCUCUAUGAUAACCCCCUCCUUUCUAUUCUUUAACAAAAUCAUAACACAAACUAUUUUAAACAAAAUAAAAUUAUUUUAAUGUUUUCUGAUUUCAAUAAAACCUAUUCUGCUUUUGGUUUGUUUUCAAGUUGAAAACAGUUUUCAAAAACAAAGGAGAAAACCAGGCCUCUCUCUGGAUCCCUCUACUCCCGGCGGCCCAGCUCCUCUCUCUCUCUUUGGCCCGCAUCCUCCCUCCAGCUCAGCCCAUCACAACUCGGCCCGUACCUCUUCGACCGAAGACAAAGUCUUCUCUUCUCUUUUCCUUCGCACGAGCACGAGAGGAGCGUGCUCGCCUCUCCAUCGCUGUCUCCAGCCUCCCCCGUGUGGUCCUCCCCCUGCUUUAUCUCUGGAGCCAGCCAACCACUCCAUCGCUCCUCCUUAUCUUCUCCUCCCCUUUUUCUUCUUCCUCUCCAAGCCAUGAACCGAAGGAGAGAAACCCCACAGUACCUCCUCCACCUCUCCAUGGCGCCGCCGUUGCAGGCCACCCCUCGCCCUUCCGAGGGCACCGGCGGGUGCUCCUCGAACUCCUUGUUCUUCUGGUACCCCUAGUCGAGCCGGGUGUGCUCAGAAUCACUGUCAAUUUCGCCGUUUCUUACUCCGGCCGGUUGAACUCCGGCGAGGAUUCCGACGCCGCUCGACCUCCCCUGGAUCAUCUGAGAUCACCUUCGUGCUCCUGGACCUCGCCGUCGGUGGCUCUCCGGCGACCCCCUGGAGUCCGCACCCCCUCCAUCGGUUUCCCCAUGUUGAGGCGCAACCCCGAAGGCCACUAACUCAUCCCGGUUCGGCCUCGAACGACAGAUCCGUCCUUGAUUUGAUCUCUGUCCGCCAUGGAUGUUCUAGCCCCUGAGCUCCGCUUUGACUUGGUUAAGUUGCGCCGCACCCUCCUUUUAACACCAUCUGUAUUAGCAGCGUAAUGGUUUGUCUGUUGAUCCCUCACACAGUUGAUCGUGUGCUCAAAUCCCAGUGAAGACGAAUUAAUCCCAACCUUUUUGUGCCCUUCACUGCUCAGAUCCGGCGCCCGACGGGCCUCGGCCCAGAUCUUCCCGGCAGCCCGUUGCCCCGCGCGGCCCGAAGCUAACCAUCGCCACCAGUAGGCCAGAUCGGGCCCUGGACAGUGCAGCAUUUGCUUCUUCACGGAUAGGAUCACGAAGUGGUGUUGAGAGAUACGAC